AGUGCCCAGUUAGUUUGCGCCAGCCUCUGAGUUCAGCUCAGAACACAGAUGAUCUCAUUGAUUCCUCACGUCAACCUUGGGAAAUCUGGGUACCCUGGGACGUCCACACAUGAGGACCGAGGCUCAGGGACAUCAAGGGACUGGCCUGGUCCCAGAAACAGGGAGUAAAAUGGGAAGUAAACUCAGUCCCACGUCUGCCUGACUCCAGAGUUUGGGCCACUGAACCAUGCGGCUGCCAUCUUGGAGUUCUUUGAGCUGUGAAGUGCUGUGCAUCGUGUGAUUCUGUGUCCCUUUUGUGCAGGAGUCUUUGUUGCUGGCUAUGAAAGCCUGAAAAAGAAUGAAAUUCUUCAUCUGAAAUUACCUCUCAGACUUUCUGUAAAGGAAAACAAGGGCUUAUUCCCAGAAAGAGAUUUCAAAGUGCGCCAUGGAGGAUUUUCAGACAGGUCUAUCUUUGAUCUAAAGCAUGUGCCACAUACCAGGUAUGGUCAAUUUUGUGAUCCAGCCAUCCACACAGGAUGGGAUGGGAUGGCUGCAAAUGCCUGGGGGUAUUC
rnacentral:lncRNA from 10 species